rnacentral:rRNA from 1 species
UAGGGAAUCUUCGGCAAUGGACGGAAGUCUGACCGAGCAACGCCGCGUGAGUGAAGAAGGUUUUCGGAUCGUAAAGCUCUGUUGUUAGAGAAGAACGUUGGUAGGAGUGGAAAAUCUACCAAGUGACGGUAACUAACCAGAAAGGGACGGCUAACUACGUGCCAGCAGCCGCGGUAAUACGUAGGUCCCGAGUGUUGUCCGGAUUUAUUGGGCGUAAAGCGAGCGCAGGCGGUUCUUUAAGUCUGAAGUUAAAGGCAGUGGCUUAACCAUUGUACGCUUUGGAAACUGGAGGACUUGAGCGCAGAAGGGGAGAGUGGAAUUCCAUGUGUAGCGGUGAAAUGCGUAGAUAUAUGGAGGAACACCGGUGGCGAAAGCGGCUCUCUGGUCUGUAACUGACGCUGAGGCUCGAAAGCGUGGGGAGCAAACAGG